GUGGGGAAUCUUCCACAAUGGACGAAAGUCUGAUGGAGCAACGCCGCGUGAGUGAAGAAGGUUUUCGGAUCGUAAAGCUCUGUUGUUGGUGAAGAAGGAUAGAGGCAGUAACUGGUCUUUAUUUGACGGUAAUCAACCAGAAAGUCACGGCUAACUACGUGCC
rnacentral:rRNA from 1 species